UACGUAGGGGCAAGCGUUAUCCGGAUUUACUGGGUGUAAAGGGAGCGUAGACGGUAUGGUAAGUCAGAUGUGAAAGCCCGGGGCUCAACCCCGGGACUGCAUUUGAAACUAUCAAACUGGAGUGCAGGAGAGGUAAGUGGAAUUCCUAGUGUAGCGGUGAAAUGCGUAGAUAUUAGGAGGAACACCAGUGGCGAAGGCGGCUUACUGGACUGUAACUGACGUUGAGGCUCGAAAGCGUGGGGAGCAAACAGGAUUAGAUACCCCCGUAGUCCCUGAGCGGGCU
rnacentral:rRNA from 1 species